rnacentral:lncRNA from 1 species
UGUGUCCACCACUGCACUCACCCCAUCCCAUCUACUCCCAUUCACAGACAAUAUCACCUAUACAUAUGUAAUCACAUCGACAUCAUCAACAACGCAAGCGCCACCUUAAAAGAAUUAAUUCAAGAAAAAAAUUUAUUUUUGUGGUCUGAAAUCAUCGUCUACAGGAAGUUGAAGUACAAUGAAACUACUAUUUCAAAAGUUGAUGUCUUUCAUACACAUGCUAUAUCACAGAUUGCACAAGGUUGUCAGUGGGUAUUUGGUGAAGGCACUAGCAUAAUGUCCUAACGGGCCCCAUAUUUCUGUAUUACAGGCAUUGACGAUUCACAAUCUGAUUACGCUCGAGGCAGAGGACUUCAGCUAAUGAGUUAGAGGUUACUCAAAGUAGCCGAGUCAUGUAAAGUGCCAUUUGAAUUCCACAAUGCUGGCAUGUCUGGAUGUGAUGUCCAACUCGAGAAUCUUUAGGUUCAACAAAGAAAAUCAUUGGUCUUGAAUUUUCCUUGCAUGCUUCGCCACAUGUCGGACGAGAGGGUGAGCACAGCAGAUCAUCGAGACUGCAUACUAAGACUACAUAAGAGCUUGUUACCCUAGGUUGUAACGCACUUGAACAAAAACAUUGCCCCGUUUUUUCAGCACCUUUUUUUUCCGGUAAAAACUCUAAGGUUAUUAUGCUGUAGUGUUAGAGUCAAUUGACUGGAAUGACAAAAAAAUCCGCUCAAGUCGAUACACAAAGGACCCUCCUUGAAUGGGGGUGGAGAUUACCCGCCUGACCGGGUAAAUGGGUCGAGGAUGGAGCGAGAAUUAUUGUCUCCAAGCGAGUAUGGAAAACAUAGUCCCCGCUCCACUACCAGUCCUGUUUGAAGUUAAUUUCGAACUUAAAUUUUUAUUUUAAAAAAAAGAUUCAUUGUCAUUUUAAAGAGAACAUGACGUUCUUUAUAAAUUAGAAAAUAUA